rnacentral:rRNA from 1 species
CGGAGGAUCCAAGCGUUAUCCGGAAUUACUGGGCGUAAAGAGUUGCGUAGGUGGCGAAGUAAGUUGGUAGUGAAAGCGUUCGGCUCAACCGGAUAAACAUUAUCAAAACUGCUUUAGCUAGAGGAUGAGAGAGGUUAUUGGAAUUCCCAGUGUAGGAGUGAAAUCCGUAGAUAUUGGGAGGAACACCGAUGGCGUAGGCAGAUAACUGGCUCAUUCCUGACACUAAGGCGCGAAAGCGUGGGGAGCAAACGGGAUUAGAUACCCCGGUAGUCCACGCCGUAAACGAUGGAUGCCAGCUGUUAUAGGUAUCGACCCCUGUAGUAGCGAAGCUAACGCGUUAAGCAUCCCGCCUGUGGAGUACGGUCGCAAGACUA